rnacentral:rRNA from 1 species
CCUACGGGUGGCAUCAGUCGAGAAUCAUUCACAAUGGGGGAAACCCUGAUGGUGCGACGCCGCGUGGGGGAAUGAAGGUCUUCGGAUUGUAAACCCCUGUCAUGUGGGAGCAAAUUAAAAAGAUAGUACCACAAGAGGAAGAGACGGCUAACUCUGUGCCAGCAGCCGCGGUAAUACAGAGGUCUCAAGCGUUGUUCGGAAUCACUGGGCGUAAGGCGUGCGUAGGCUGUUUCGUAAGUCGUGUGUGAAAGGCGCGGGCUCAACCCGCGGACGGCACAUGAUACUGCGAGACUAGAGUAAUGGAGGGGGAACCGGAAUUCUCGGUGUAGCAGUGAAAUGCGUAGAUAUCGAGAGGAACACUCGUGGCGAAGGCGGGUUCCUGGACAUUAACUGACGCUGAGGCACGAAGGCCAGGGGAGCGAAAGGGAUUAGAUACCCGGGUAGUC